rnacentral:rRNA from 1 species
AUGACUUAUCUGGGGAUCCCCAUUAGUGAUUCGACACUCACGGUGGCUGAGCUUCGCCCCUCGGUUGGGAAGCUUCAACACCGCAUCGAGCCUUGGCAGGGCCGAUGGCUCUCGAAGGUGGCCCGAACAGUGCUUAUUAACUCGUCCCUUGCCAGCCUGCUCUUGUUCAUCAUGAGCUUCUACAGCCUUCCGGAGACUCUACAUCACGAGAUUGCCACAGUACAGGGACGCUUCUUCUGGGCCGGCGAGGGCGACAAGCAGAAAUACCACAUGGUUCGCUGGUCGGAGAUCUGUAAACCGCGCGACCAGGGUGAGCUCGGGAUCAUGUCCUCCAAACACAUGAACAUUACCCUCCUAACGCGCUGGUUAUGGCGGAUUGCCAACGGAGAGGGUGGCCUGUGGCUUCGCAUCAUUCAGCAAAAAUACCUCCGUGGCUAG